CUUUUACUUUAGAGACCGCCUUAGAACGACACAUUUUAGCAAACAGCUGCGAGUUAUAGACGGGGAUAGAAUUGCUCGAUCGGUCGAAUGUUGGAUAAGUUACUUAUUUUUGGUAUCGAAAAGCAUCUGUUUGGUCGGUGUUUUAUUUGUAAUGCGCCUGUUCCGACGGUGGUUUAGCAUUAGCUCAUCGAGUGGGUUGCGUUUAGCUAGGUAGAUGAAACGGCUAAUGGUUGAUAGUUUGGUAGUGAAGAACUAAAGAGGAAAGAAGAAACAAACAAAGGAGGGUGACUGCGUUGGUUUCGCUCGAAAUAGUCCGGCUUUUGAGUUGUGAGUGGGUUAGUGUUCGAGUUACACGGAUACGGGAUAGCCGGUGACUUGUUCGGUCAGUUAGAACGCCGUUAGCUAGCCAGACGUUUUUGUUUGUGUGGGAGGCUUGUCGAAAUAUUAGCCAAAGCUAAUAAUUUACGACGGAACAAGUGUCGCUAUCGAGAUUAAACAAAAGGCGGACCCUUUCCCUAUAACUUGGGCGACUCGAUAUUUAGUUUCUGUCCGUGUUUUGAGAGGGGAGUUUGGAGAGCUAUUUAGCUGGUUAACUGGUUAGCCGGGGGGGAGCUAAACGGGUUGCGGCGGAAUAUGGCUCAGCAUGGACAACAACAUGUAGCGAGCUCCCAAAAGGCGUUAAUGUUAGAGAUGAAGAGUCUCCAGGAGGAGCCGGUCGAGGGCUUUAAGAUAACUUUGGUGGACGAAGCCGACCUGUACAACUGGGAAGUUGCGAUUUUCGGACCCCCGAACACCCACUACGAAGGCGGAUAUUUUAAGGCUCGUAUCAAGUUCCCCAUCGAUUACCCAUACUCCCCACCGGCCUUUCGCUUUCUUACCAAGAUGUGGCACCCAAACAUCUAUGAGAACGGUGAUGUCUGCAUCUCCAUCCUGCACCCUCCAGUGGAUGACCCCCAGAGUGGGGAGCUGCCCUCAGAGCGAUGGAACCCUACACAGAAUGUCAGGACCAUUCUUCUGAGCGUUAUCUCUCUGCUGAAUGAGCCCAACACCUCGUCACCAGCCAACGUAGACGCUUCCGUCAUGUACCGCAAGUGGCGGGACAGCAAGGGCAAGGACCGGGAGUACACGGAGAUCAUCAGGAAACAGGUGCAGGCUACCAAAGCCGAGGCAGAGCGCGAUGGCGUGAAAGUGCCCACCACACUGGCGGAGUACUGUGUCCGGACACGUGCACCUCCCCCCGACGAGGGUUCGGACCUUUUCUACGAUGACUAUUACGAUGACGAGGAGCUGGAGGAUGAGGCUGACGAGGAUUGUUGUUACGACGAGGAUGACUCUGGAACGGAGGAUUCGUGACGCCUUUCCUGCCCGAAGGACGCUAAACUCGUCUCCCAUCCCCAUCUCAGCCCUUCACACAUCAGCUCAGAGUGCCCGGCUGCAUCCCGCUUUUUAAAUACAAAUCAGUUUUUUGAAACACUACAAACGUUUUAGAUUUGUGUUCAUUGUCGGAUGUGUAUGUUCAUUAACCCAGAUCAUGUUAUACCAAGUGAUGACCCCGCCCCCAGCUCAUGGCCCCCAGACUUCUCUGCAUUAAACAGGCCUUGGCUCUGGGUGUCGCACUAAGCCAGGCUUCUGGUAUUUCGAGCCCCUCCCCUCGAAUGAAAUCGCCAAAGCCCCGGUGACCCGCCCCCACCACCAUCCCUUCCCUUUACUCCCUGGCUUUUGAGAACAUGGGAAGGAAGAGAUCAGCCAGCUUAGCAAUAAAUGUGUGUGUGAGGUUUCAAAGUCAUGGUGGACAUGUAAAUGUUACCCCCCCCCCCCUUUUUUUUUUUUAAGCACAGGCUACCUUGUAGCUAGUAGCUCAUGCCACUCCCCCUGUGACCCUUUCUACACCGUGGUGAAAAGUCAGCCUUUGUUUCGCCCCUGUGUGAGGGGGCCACUUCUGUACUCCUGAUUCAACUCUCAAGUUUUUAGAUGCCAGUGACAGCCAGCGCUUUGUAAGCAGCCCCACUGUAUUAUGGCUCCUGGCAAGGAAUAAAAUGAGAACAACUGAAAUGCUAGUUGUGCACAAGAGGUAAAGCUCCUGGUAGAGAGAGAGAGAGAGGGCUCCACCUGUAGUCAUCCGUCUGAAUUGAGUGCAAACCAACUGCGGCCUGUUUGCCUUGCAGGCACAGGCUGAUAUAGUAGAAGUCUGCCUGUACGGCUGUAGGUGAACCAGCUGGUAAGAUCACCCAUCGUAUGGAAUGUACUUGUGUUUUGUGCAUCUCAUAUCUUCCCUUUAGGCAGUUUCUUUUCAAGGAUUUCUUUAAAAGGAUGUCCAAAUUGCUCUGGUUUCAUCUUGGUUUUAAAUAUAAAAUUUAAGAAUAUUGUGUUCUGUUCGGAUGAAUGGGUUUAAUGCCGCGAUUCAUGAUCAUGUAUCCCCUCCUCAGUCUAAUUGGGCAAAAGCAUCGGCAAGGACACUUGAGCGUUUUGAAAGCUUAAAAACAAUCUCAGGAUGAAUAAAGGAAAAUGGAUUUUUCUUCUCCCCCCCCUUCUCUCCCAAGUAUCACUGAGUCUGCCAGCAGCUGUGAAGGUCCUCCAAGUCUCUGCUUGCAGACUGUUUACAAUCUUUAUGCACACAUUGAAAUGCUGACGAUCACUUUUCUUAUGGUUUGUAAAUGUAUUUAAAACUGAAAUAAAUAACCUUUUAAUAGGUUUUUGUGAAUUAAA